rnacentral:rRNA from 1 species
CGCGCAGGCGGUUUUAUAAGUCUGGUGUGAAAGCCCACGGCUCAACCGUGGAGGGUCACUGGAAACUGUAAGACUUGAGUAUAGGAGAGGAAAGUGGAAUUCCAUGUGUAGCGGUGAAAUGCGUAGAUAUAUGGAGGAACACCAGUGGCGAAGGCGACUUUCUGGUCUGUAACUGACACUGAGGCUCGAAAGCGUGGGGAGCAAACAG